AGCUGUGCGCCGUAAGCAGGUGGGUCGGUGGGUGGUGCCAGAGGGGAGCUGUGCCGUGUGGCUCUAGCUAAGCUCGGUCGUUUCUCUGUUUCCUAGGUGCGAAGCGAAGAGGAAAGCGGGCUGUCGGCAGCUCAGCUCCUCGGGCCAGGUGAGCACGGAGUGCUGGGCCGAAGCGGCAGCUCGUUUCAGGUCCCGUGUUGCUGGCGCGGGUCCGAGCGUCCUUUGGUGGUGUUUUACAGGCGGCAGCUGAGCGUCUCGGCGGUCCGCGGCGUGGCAGUCAAAAGCAAGGGCGGCCGGGUGGGCGAGCGGCCCAGGUAAGGGAGGGCGAGCUGGGACCGUCUGCGGGCAGGCUGUGUUUUCGGGCGGCGUCCGAGCGCGUGCCUCUGGUUUUGCGGGUGCCGCAGACGAGCCGGCAGGGGCGAAGCCGCACGCCGGCCGGCAGCCGAGAAGGUGAGGCGGCGGUGGGCGUUGCGGAGCCCGGUAUUGCCCGGCCUCUCGCUUCAUCUUUUCCUUCUCGCUUUGCAGGCGCUUUGUGGGCCCUCUGGACCGGGAGGAGCAUUUGCGGCGUCACCAGCGCUGAGGGUUUGUGACCGCGCCAGCGGCAGGACACGCCGACCGGACCGCCCUGGAGCUCAGCAGGAGGCGCUGAAGAGGAACCCGGCGACGCGGGAAGACGGCCGUUGGCGCACGUGGCGUUUUCCUCUGCCGAAGAUGGGUUCGGUCCCUCGGCCCUCUGAAAGCUAAGUGGAGGCGCGAGGGCUGGGAAGGGGCCGGGAAUGGCAGGGACGGGGGGUUUAGCUCUGCUAAGGGCAAGGGCCGUCCAGGAACCGCGCCCUUGGCGCGGGUGAAGGCCCCGGGGACCUUUACCGUGCGAUGCCAGCGUGUGCCAGGCAGGGCAGCUCCAGCCUGCGUCUGCGUUGUGGUGUAGUUCGGGAAGCCUGCCUUGCGCCCGUCAGCCGAUCCUGGGGUCUCGUUGCUUUCCAGGGGCACGAAAGGCCUCUCGGGUGCCACCCCGGGAUCUGGAACGCCGGUGCCGAUCGGCGUAGCGCCGAUCGGGCGCUGGUUUUCUGGUGUCGGCAGCCGAAAGCGUGGCGGGUUCUUGCCUUUCGGCCGUUUCUGGUCAGGGGUGUUAGCGGCGUUGUCCUGGGCUGUGCCGGCAGCUGUGCUCUCUAGCCAUCCAGUCUCAGGGACUGGAACUUCAAGAUGCUGGGAAGAAGUUCUUAGGUUUUUCAUCAGCUUCUCGUUUGGUUGCGCCGUCUCUGCUCGGUUGUGGCGCUGCCGCCGUCUCGUCAGGAGCCGUGACGUCGGGCUCCUUUUCCGUUUGAGGAUGCAGGAGAGGCUCCUCUCCUCCCCGUAGAUUAUUGGGAUCGAUGCCCUUCUGGUCUCGGAGCGUCGUGUUCGUCGUGGAGCGUUUUUGGCGCUGUGGCCGUCGCGUGGUCUAUAAGGUUCUGCGGAGCGUCUGUCGGCCCGGGUGCGCGUUUGGCUCGGAGCUGC